rnacentral:rRNA from 1 species
GCGCGCUACACUGAUGCAUUCAACGAGCCUUAGCCUGGGCCGAGAGGCCCGGGUAAUCUCCGAAACUGCAUCGUGAUGGGGAUAGAUUAUUGCAAUUAUUAGUCUUCAACGAGGAAUGCCUAGUAAGCGCGAGUCAUCGGCUCGCGUUGAUUACGUCCCUGCCCUUUGUACACACCGCCCGUCGCUCCUACCGAUUGGGUGUGCUGGUGAAGUGAUCGGAUUGGCCGUGGUGGGUGGGUCUCCACCCCCUCGGCCGAGAAGUCCAUUGAACCCUCCCACCUAGAGGAAGGAGAAGUCGUAACAAGGUUUCCGUAGGUGAACCUGCGGAAGGAUCA